GUGAGGAAUAUUGGUCAAUGGACGAAAGUCUGAACCAGCCAAGUAGCGUGCAGGAUGACGGCCCUCUGGGUUGUAAACUGCUUUUAGUUGGGAAUAAAAAAGAGGACGUGUCCUCUAUUGUAUGUACCUUCAGAAAAAGGACCGGCUAAUUCCGUGCCAGCAGCCGCGGUAAUACGGAAGGUCCAGGCGUUAUCCGGAUUUAUUGGGUUUAAAGGGAGCGUAGGCGGAUUAUUAAGUCAGUGGUGAAAGACGGUGGCUCAACCAUCGUUAGCCAUUGAAACUGGUAGUCUUGAGUGCAGACAGGGAUGCUGGAACUCGUGGUGUAGCGGUGAAAUGCUUAGAUAUCACGAUGAACUCCGAUCGCGAAGGCAGGUGUCCGGGCUGCAACUGACGCUGAGGCUCGAAAGUGUGGGUAUCAAACAGG
rnacentral:rRNA from 1 species